AACGAACGCUGGCGGCAGGCCUAACACAUGCAAGUCGAGCGAACCGCAAGGUUAGCGGCGGACGGGUUAGUAACGCGUGGGAACGUGCCCAAAGGUACGGAAUAGCCUCGGGAAACUGAGAGUAAUACCGUAUGUGCCCGAAAGGGGAAAGAUUUAUCGCCAUUGGAUCGGCCCGCGUUGGAUUAGGUAGUUGGUGGGGUAAUGGCCUACCAAGCCGACGAUCCAUAGCUGGUUUGAGAGGAUGAUCAGCAACACUGGGACUGAGACACGGCCCAGACUCCUACGGGAGGCAGCAGUGGGGAAUCUUAGACAAUGGGGGAAACCCUGAUCUAGCCAUGCCGCGUGAGCGAUGAAGGCCUUAGGGUUGUAAAGCUCUUUCACCGGGGAAGAUAAUGACGGUACCCGGAGAAGAAGCCCCGGCUAACUCCGUGCCAGCAGCCGCGGUAAAAC
rnacentral:rRNA from 1 species